rnacentral:tRNA from 1 species
UCCCCAAUGGCUCAGUAGUAAAGAAUUUGCCUGCAAUGCAAGAGACACAGGUUCCAUCCCUGAGUGGCGAA